GAUGAACGCUGGCGGCGUGCCUAAUACAUGCAAGUCGAGCGAACAGACGAGGAGCUUGCUCCUCUGACGUUAGCGGCGGACGGGUGAGUAACACGUGGAUAACCUACCUAUAAGACUGGGAUAACUUCGGGAAACCGGAGCUAAUACCGGAUCAUAUAUUGAACCGCAUGGUUCAAUAGUGAAAGACGGUUUUGCUGUCACUUAUAGAUGGAUCCGCGCCGCAUUAGCUAGUUGGUAAGGUAACGGCUUACCAAGGCAACGAUGCGUAGCCGACCUGAGAGGGUGAUCGGCCACACUGGAACUGAGACACGGUCCAGACUCCUACGGGAGGCAGCAGUAGGGAAUCUUCCGCAAAGGGCGAAAGCCUGACGGAGCAACGCCGCGUGAGUGAUGAAGGUCUUCGGAUCGUAAAACUCUGUUAUUAGGGAAGAACAAAUGUGUAAGUAACUAUGCACGUCUUGACGGUACCUAAUCAGAAAGCCACGGCUAACUACGUG
rnacentral:rRNA from 1 species